AGAACCUGCGGGCGAGGUGGGUGGCUCGCCAGCCGGGACGAAGGGAAAUGAGGACCACCGCUCCGGGGCGCGAGUAGGCGCGUGGAGUCCGGGGGCUCAGCCGCCGCGCCUCUUCCUCCUGCAGCUGGAGACUGCAACAGCGGCGGGUGCACCGGCAGCAGCGACGACCCUGCGCGCAGGUGGCAGUGUAGAAGCCAGACCGGGAGCUUCCAGAAGUGGUUUCUGAAAGAGUCAAAUGUACAUGAGUAAGCAAGCACAGGAAUCUGAAAAACCACAGGAAUGAAAUGCAGAUAACUCUUUAGAAAACUUUUGUAGGAAAAGCGCCUCGUGUGAUCUGGAACAAAGACGUUUUAUAAUCAGAUUUAUCAAGCUGCGAAGAGGGAGUUUUAGUGAACGGAAGCAGCAGCAUUCUGUCACCAGGAAAUACUCCUUUAUCCAGAAUUGCCUUGUAACUGUUAUGAAUGACCCUCAAUCUCACUGGAAUCUGAAUCACUCAGGAAUUCAAGCAAACUGGAUGUUUUAACCACUGUUCAGCUUUCUUAUGGAAUGACAGAGAACUUGUAAAGAUAAAACACCAGUUUGCAGGAAGAAAGGAAGAGAAUGGAAAUUGCUUCUGGAAAAUACUAGUUUUACAAUAUGUUUUGUUUGUCUGCUCUCUUAAAUAAACUUAAUCCUAUAAACAUUUUUUAAGAACUAGCCAUUAAGACUGUUAAGUUCUCAAUUAUAAAGGAAUAAAAUGUUUUAAGGAGGAUUUAUUUGCCCUUGCUUAUAUGAACUGCAUAUUUUUAGUAGGAAAUCAUGUAAUUUAAAUUAGUAUUGGUUAACAGAUUUAACGUAGAAAAUGGACAUAUAAAGAAUACAAGGAUAAAUGUCUACAUGUAAUAAUGGAUGGUAGUGAUAUAAUGCAUUUUUGUCAUCCCAUGCUGAAUUCAGUAAAAAUAAAGCUAAUGACUUGGAGCUUUUAAAA
ensembl:lncRNA MIR222HG miR222/221 cluster host gene